GAUGAAGAACGCAGCGAAAUGCGAUAAGUAAUGUGAAUUGCAGAAUUCAGUGAAUCAUCGAAUCUUUGAACGCACAUUGCGCCCGCCAGUAUUCUGGCGGGCAUGCCUGUUCGAGCGUCAUUUCAACCAUCAAGCCCCCGGCUUGUGUUGGGACCUGCGGCUGCCGCAGGCCCUGAAAACCAGUGGCGGGCUCGCUAGUCACUCCGAGCGUAGUAAUACAUCUCGCUCAGGGCGUGCUGCGGGUUCCGGCCGUUAAAAAGCCUUAUUUACCCAAGGUUGACCUCGGAUCAGGUAGGAAGACCCGCUGAACUUAAGCAUAUCAAUAAGCGGAGGA
rnacentral:misc_RNA from 1 species